AAGCAGAAGGAGAGCAGCCACGUCGAGAGGGCCAGGCUGCGGCAGGCCGCCACCAGAGAGCCCGGGGCCAUGCUGAGCCUCCCCGCUGCGUCGACGGCGUGCCGUCGCUGGACCAGCUGAGGAGGCCCCUGGUCAACGGUUGCAGAUGCUGCCCUCUGCAGGAGCACAAAUGCUGCUGCAGUCCGGGCUUUCUCCAUCGCUUCACGCACACAGUCCCUAAGAGUGACCACCAGGGGCAGCAGCUGCUCCUGCCAAGAAUAGGUAGAAGAAGAAGAAGAA